UACAGAGGGUGCAAGCGUUGUUCGGAAUUAUUGGGCGUAAAGGGCGCGUAGGCGGUGCGGUAAGUCUGUAGUGAAAUCUCUGGGCUCAACUCAGAGUCUGCUAUAGAAACUGCCGUGCUUGAGUGUGGGAGAGGUGAGUGGAAUUCCCGGUGUAGCGGUGAAAUGCGCAGAUAUCAGGAAGAACACCCGUGGCGAAGGCGGCUCUCUGGGACGGUACUGACGCUGAGACGCGAAAGCGUGGGGAGCGAACAGG
rnacentral:rRNA from 1 species